rnacentral:rRNA from 1 species
UACGUAGGGGGCAAGCGUUAUCCGGAUUUACUGGGUGUAAAGGGAGCGUAGGUGGCAAGGCAAGUCAGAUGUGAAAACCCGGGGCCCAACCCCGGGAGUGCAUUUGAAACUGUCUGGCUAGAGUGCAGGAGAGGUAAGUGGAAUUCCACGUGUAGCAGUGAAAUGCGUAGAUAUGUGGAAGAACACCGAUGGCGAAGGCAGCCUCCUGGGACGCAACUGACGCUCAUACACGAAAGCGUGGGGAGCAAACAGG